rnacentral:rRNA from 1 species
AGCGAACGCUGGCGGCAGGCUUAACACAUGCCAGUCGAGCGGACCUUCCGUGGUUAGCGGCGGUCGGGUGAGUAACGCGUGGGAACUUGCCUUUCGGUUCGGUAUAACCCUGGGAAACAUGGGCUAAUACCGGUUACGCUCAUACGGGGUAAGGUUUGCUGCUGUAGGAUCGGGGCGCGUCUGAUUAGCCGGUUGGUGGUGUAAUCGCCUGUCAUGGGGUCGAUCAUUAGCUGGUGUGAUACGAGGAUCAGUCACACUGGGGCUGAGACACGGCCCACACUCGUAGGGGGGGGAGGAGUAGAGAAUAUUAGGCAAUGAGCGCAAGCCUGGUCCAGCCGUGCCGCGUAAGUGAUGCAGGCGUUAGGGUUGUGAAGCUGUUUUAGCCGGGACGAUAGUGACGGUAACGGAGAAAUAAGCACCGGCUAACUACGUG